rnacentral:rRNA from 1 species
GCGUUAUCGGUUUACUGGGCGUAAAGCGUGCGUAGGUGGUUCUUUUAAGUCGGAUGUGAAAUCCCUGAGCUUAACNUAGGAANUGCAUUCGAUACUGGGAGACUAGAGUAUGGGAGAGGAUGGUNGAAUUCCAGGUGUAGCGGUGAAAUGCGUAGAGAUCUGGAGGAAUACCGAUGGCGAAGGCAGCCAUCUGGCCUAAUACUGACACUGAGGUACGAAAGCAUGGGGAGCAAACAGGAUUAGAUACCCUGGUAGUCCAUGCCGUAAACGAUGUCUACUAGCCGUUGGGGCCUUUGAGGCUUUAGUGGCGCAGCUAACGCGAUAAGUAGACCGCCUGGGGAGUACGGUCGCAAGACUAAAACUCAAAUGAAUUGACGGGGGCCCGCACAAGCGGUGGAGCAUGUGGUUUAAUUCGAUGCAACGCGAAGAACCUUACCUGGUCUUGACAUANUAAGAACUUUCCAGAGAUGGAUUGGUGCCUUCGGGAGCUUACAUACAGGUGCUGCAUGGCUGUCGUCAGCUCGUGUCGUGAGAUGUUGGGUUAAGUCCCGCAACGAGCGCAACCCUUUUCCUUAUUUGCCAGCGGGUUAAGCCGGGAACUUUAAGGAUACUGCCAGUGACAAACUGGANGAAGGCGGNGACNACNUCNANUCAUCAUGGCCCUUACNACCANGNCUAC